AUUGAACGCUGGCGGCAGGCCUAACCCCUGCAAGUCGAGCGAGCGGCGGACGGGUGAGUAAUGUCUGGGACACUGCCUGAUGGAGGGGGAUAACUACUGGAAACGGUAGCUAAUACCGCAUCCCAUCAGAUGUGCCCAAAUGGGAUUGGCUAGUAGGUGGGGUAAUGGCUCACCUAGGCGACGAGCCCUAGCUGGUCUUCGAGGAUGACCCGCCACACUGGAACGGGGACACGGUCCAGACUCCUACGGGAGGCAGCAGUGGGGAAGAUUGCACAAAGGGCGCAAGCCUGAUGCAGCGAUGCCGCGUGUGUGAAGAGGGCCUUCGGGUUGUAAAGCACUUUCAGCGGGGAGGCGUUACCCGCAGAAGAAGCACGGGCUAACUCCGUGCCAGCAGCCGCGGUAAUAC
rnacentral:rRNA from 1 species